rnacentral:lncRNA from 1 species
AGACAUCUGGGCAAGUCAACAGGAAGGUGGAUAUCCAAAUCUCUCUCUUCGCAAUGAGUUUCCAGUUAGAUGGAGGAGAGAGUAAUAAAACACAGAGCUGAGAUUCCUGACUUCACAGAUCCCUGAGGAGAUGUUUACUAAAGGGAAUCUUCUGGUCACUGUUACCUUCCUCCGUACUUACCUGCCUCAUGGAGAACCCGAAAGGAAGAAGCUAUACGACUGGGGACACAUGUCUUAGAAGCACACUCAUUAGAUAAAGUGUCGCAUACUCUUUGAUAAGGUUGAAGUGUGUGGUGCGACCAUGACUCAGUGCAGCCUCCACCUAUUGGGAUCAAGUGAUCUUCCCAUCAGGCCUUUCAAGUAGCUGGGACUGCAGUGCACACCACUAUGCCCAGCUAAUUAUUUACUGAUUUUUUUUUUUUGUAGAGAUAGUCUCACUAUGUUGCCCAGGCUGGUCUUGAACUCCUGGGAUCAAGCGAUCUUCCCACCUUGGCCUCCCAAAGUGCUGGGAUUACAGGUGUGAGUCACUGCAACCAGUCUGGGUAUGAUAUUACUUUUGGCAAAUAUGAAAAUGUUCUAAAAUUAGGUAAUGGAUGCACAACUCUGUGUACUAAAAACUCUUGUUUCCCACUUUAAGCUAGUUGUUGUGCUUUGUGAUAUGUAAAGUUCAUCUCAAUAAAGCUGUUUUAAACAGAAAGA